rnacentral:rRNA from 1 species
AUUGAACGCUGGCGGCAUGCCUUACACAUGCAAGUCGAACGGCAGCACGGGUGCUUGCACCUGGUGGCGAGUGGCGAACGGGUGAGUAAUACAUCGGAACGUACCUUAUCGUGGGGGAUAACGCAGCGAAAGCUGUGCUAAUACCGCAUACGCCCUGAGGGGGAAAGCGGGGGAUCGCAAGACCUCGCGCGAUUAGAGCGGCCGAUGCCUGAUUAGCUUGUUGGUGGGGUAAAAGCCCACCAAGGCGACGGUCAGUAGCUGGUCUGAGAGGACGAUCAGCCACACUGGGACUGAGACACGGCCGAGACUCCUGCGGGAGGCAGGAGUGGGGAAUUUUGGACAAGGGGGGCAACCCGGGUCCAGCAAUGCCGCGUGAGUGAAGAAGGCCUUCGGGUUGUAAGGCUCUUUUGUCAGGGAAGAAACACCGGCUCUAACACAGUCUGGGAAUGACGGUACCUGAAGAAUAAGCACCGGCUAACUACGUGCCAGCCGCCGCCGUAA